AUUGAACGCUAGCGGGAUGCUUUACACAUGCAAGUCGAACGGCAGCGCGGACUUCGGUCUGGCGGCGAGUGGCGAACGGGUGAGUAAUGUAUCGGAACGUGCCCAGUAGCGGGGGAUAACUACGCGAAAGCGUAGCUAAUACCGCAUACGCCCUACGGGGGAAAGCAGGGGAUCGUAAGACCUUGCACUAUUGGAGCGGCCGAUAUCGGAUUAGCUAGUUGGUGAGGUAACGGCUCACCAAGGCGACGAUCCGUAGCUGGUUUGAGAGGACGACCAGCCACACUGGGACUGAGACACGGCCCAGACUCCUACGGGAGGCAGCAGUGGGGAAUUUUGGACAUUGGGGGCAACCCUGAUCCAGCCAUCCCGCGUGUUGGAUGAAGGCCUUCGGGUUGUAAAGCACUUUUGGCAGGAAAGAAACGUCGCGGGCUAAUACCCCGUGGAACUGACGGUACCUGCAGAAUAAGCACCGGCUAACUACGUG
rnacentral:rRNA from 1 species